GAAUGAAGAACGUAGCGAAAUGCGAUAAGUAAUGUGAAUUGCAGAAUUCAGUGAAUCAUCGAAUCUUUGAACGCACAUUGCGCCCCUUGGUAUUCCGGGGGGCAUGCCUGUUCGAGCGUCAUUAUAACCCCUCAAGCUCAGCUUGGUGUUGGGGCCUGCCAACUGGCAGCCCUUAAAAUCAGUGGCGGCGCCAUCUGGCUCUAAGCGUAGUAAUUUCUCUCGCUAUAGGGUCCCGGUGGAUGCUGGCCAACAACCCCCAAUUUUCUAUGGUUGACCUCGGAUCAGGUAGGGAUACCCGCUGAACUUAAGCAUAUCAAUAAGCGGAGGA
rnacentral:misc_RNA from 1 species